rnacentral:rRNA from 1 species
UACGGGGGGGGCAAGCGUUGUUCGGAAUUACUGGGCGUAAAGGGCGCGUAGGCGGCCUUCUAAGUCGGACGUGAAAUCCCUCGGCUUAACCGAGGAACUGCGUCCGAUACUGAAAGGCUUGAAUCCGGGAGAGGGAUGUGGAAUUCCAGGUGUAGCGGUGAAAUGCGUAGAUAUCUGGAGGAACACCAAUGGCGAAGGCAGCUCGCUGGAACGGUACUGACGCUGAGGCGCGAAAGCGUGGGUAGCAAACAGG